rnacentral:rRNA from 1 species
AACGCGAAGAACCUUACCAAGGUUUGACAUGCAGGGAAAAGCCGUAGAGAUAUGGUGUCCGUAAGGGUCCUGCACAGGUGGUGCAUGGCUGUCGUCAGCUCGUGUCGUGAGAUGUUGGGUUAAGUCCCGCAACGAGCGCAACCCUCGUCCUAUGUUGCCAGCGGGUAAUGCCGGGGACUCAUAGGAGACUGCCGGGGUCAACUCGGAGGAAGGUGGGGAUGACGUCAAGUCCUCAUGCCCCUUAUGUCUUGGGCUGCAAACAUGCUACAAUGGCCGGUACAACGGGCUGCUAAUCCGCGAGGAGGAGCCAAUCCCAAAAGCCGGUCUCAGUUCGGAUUGGAGUCUGCAACUCGACUCCAUGAAGUCGGAGUCGCUAGUAAUCCCGGAUCAGCAACGCCGGGGUGAAUACGUUCCCGGGCCUUGUACACACCGGAGUA